rnacentral:pre_miRNA from 1 species
AACAGGAAGAGGAAGAAAAGAUGGCCUAAGAAUAGUGGGCAUGGGAACAUGAUGGAAGGCUAAAGCUCUCACCUCUCAGUUCCUUGUGUAACACCAAAAGAGGCUUUGGUUGCAUUUUCUCGAUGCCUCCCAUGCCUAGUGUUCUUUGGCGCUCUUUUCUCUUCAUUUUGGGU